UUGACCCAAAAAAAUGACUUAAUUAAACAAGAAUGCAAUAUUUAGGAAAGAUCUCUUGGCAGUAGAACAUGGAAGAGAAUACGAGGAAGAACCAGAUCCAUUUCCAUUUGCUGGAGACAGAUAUAUGAAAGUAUAUAUUCAGAUUGGCUGUCCAUUAUAUUUGAUUUCUGCGUCGCUCUCGGCUCGCAUUCUCGGCUGAGUCGGAUCACAAUCGUCUUCUACCUCGAGAUUUGUAUCUUUAUUUGUUUCAGCUUCGUCUUCAUAUUUCUGCAUGUCUCAAUCUCCCUUUCUCUUUAAUCGCAGAUUUCUUGUUGUUGGUUUGCAGAUCGAUCCCCUCUCCGAUUUCUUUCAAGGCAUCUUCUCUCAAGACAAUGAAGGGCGUGUUUGGCGUGUUUUUCUGAAUGAGGAUUUUUGGUGUAGAUUGCUGCUGACAUGCAUCUUCCCAUGCUGCUUUUGUGUGACGGUUACUAGGAGACUAGAAUAAGAAUGGACAAAGAGAUUUGAUAUCUUAUAUAAUGUCUCAUUCUCAGUGUUUAUUCCUGAGUAAGAACAAAAUGCUGUUUUUUGCACUUGCUACUUUGCUAGUGUCAGCAUCUUCCCAUGCUGCUUUUGUGUGACGGUUACUAGGAGACUAGAAUAAGAAUGGACAAAGAGAUUUGAUAUCUUAUAAUGUCUCAUUCUCAGUGUUUAUUCCUGAGUAAGAACAAAAUGCUGGUUUUUUGCACUUGCUAGUGUGUUAGCUCUUAGAAGUGCAAUAAUUGACAACUAGCCUCUUAACACACGCUCACUUUCUUCCUUUUCUUUUAUUUUUAUAUUUUUGUUAAAUUGCAAUUAAAAAGAGAAAGAAAAAAAAAAUCUGCAGCGGCAGACUUACUGUUAAAA